UAAAGAUCCCCAUCUCAUGUUAAAUUGGUCUAGCUAGGGAUCGGGGAAGUCUGGUGUGAAUCCAGGGCUGUGCCGCAACUGUGAUGGAGCUAUUGCUUCGAGUCAGAAUACCGUACCUGAGCGUACCGAUUGC
rfam:Chamaesiphon minutus PCC 6605, complete genome.